rnacentral:rRNA from 1 species
CCUANGGGAGGCUGCAGUCGAGGAUCAUUGUCAAUGCACGAAAGUGUGAACAUGCGACGCCGCGUGGAGUAAGACGGCCUUCGGGUUGUAAACUCCUGUCAGCAGGGAAUAAGGGUAGUAUUGCUAAUAUCAAUGCUAUUUGACGGUACCUGCAGAGGAAGUCACGGCUAACUCUGUGCCAGCAGCCGCGGUAAUACAGAGGUGGCGAACGUUGUUCGGAUUUACUGGGCGUAAAGGGUCCGUAGGCGGUUUGGUGUGUCGGAUGUGAAAUCUCACAGCUCAACUGUGGAAUUGCAUUCGAAACUGCCGAACUAGAGUACUGGAGGGGAGAAGGGAAUACUUGGUGUAGCGGUGAAAUGCGUGGAUAUCAAGUAGAACACCGGAGGCGAAGGCGCUUCUCUGGACAGAUACUGACGCUAAUGGACGAAAGCCAGGGGAGCGAAAGGGAUUAGAUACCCUUNUANUC